UAUUAGUGAUCAAGGGGGAAAGGUCC
rnacentral:misc_RNA from 1 species